UAUACUGCAAGUCGAGCGCGGGAACAAGCCGAUCCCCUUCGGGGGUGACGCUUGUGGAACGAGCGGCGGACGGGUGAGUAACACGUGGGCAACCUGCCUGUAAGACUGGGAUAACCCCGGGAAACCGGGGCUAAUACCGGAUAACACCGGACUCCACAUGGAGUCGGGUUGAAAGAUGGCUUCUGGCUAUCACUUACAGAUGGGCCCGCGGCGCAUUAGCUAGUUGGUGAGGUAACGGCUCACCAAGGCGACGAUGCGUAGCCGACCUGAGAGGGUGAUCGGCCACACUGGGACUGAGACACGGCCCAGACUCCUACGGGAGGCAGCAGUAGGGAAUCUUCCGCAAUGGACGAAAGUCUGACGGAGCAACGCCGCGUGAACGAUGAAGGUCUUCGGAUCGUAAAGUUCUGUUGUCAGGGAAGAACAAGUGCCGUGCGAAUAGAGCGGCACCUUGACGGUACCUGACGAGGAAGCCCCGGCUAACUACGUGCCAGCAGCCGCGGUAAUACGUAGGGGGCAAGCGUUGUCCGGAAUUAUUGGGCGUAAAGCGCGCGCAGGCGGUUUCUUAAGUCUGAUGUGAAAGCCCACGGCUCAACCGUGGAGGGUCAUUGGAAA
rnacentral:rRNA from 1 species